AACGAACGCUGGCGGCAUGCCUAACACAUGCAGGUCGAACGAGACCUUCGGGUCUAGUGGCGCACGGGUGCGUAACGCGUGGGAACCUGCCCUUAGGUUCGGAAUAACUCCCCGAAAGGGGUGCUAAUACCGGAUAAUGUCUUCGGACCAAAGAUUUAUCGCCUUUGGAUGGGCCCGCGUUGGAUUAGCUAGUUGGUAGGGUAAAAGCCUACCAAGGCGACGAUCCAUAGCUGGUCUGAGAGGAUGAUCAGCCACACUGGGACUGGGACACGGCCCAGACUCCUACGGGAGGCAGCAGUGGGGAAUAUUGGACAAUGGGCGAAAGCCUGAUCCAGCGAUGCCGCGUGAGUGAUGAAGGCCUUAGGGUUGUAAAGCUCUUUUACCCGGGAUGAUAAUGACAGUACCGGGAGAAUAAGCUCCGGCUAACUCCGUG
rnacentral:rRNA from 1 species